rnacentral:rRNA from 1 species
AACGAACGCUGGUGGCAUGCCUAACACAUGCAAGUCGAACGAGACCUUCGGGUCUAGUGGCGCACGGGUGCGUAACGCGUGGGAACCUGCCCUUAGGUUCGGAAUAACUCCCCGAAAGGGGUGCUAAUACCGGAUAAUGUCUUCGGACCAAAGAUUUAUCGCCUUUGGAUGGGCCCGCGUUGGAUUAGCUAGUUGGUAGGGUAAAAGCCUACCAAGGCGACGAUCCAUAGCUGGUCUGAGAGGAUGAUCAGCCACACUGGGACUGAGACACGGCCCAGACUCCUACGGGAGGCAGCAGUGGGGAAUAUUGGACAAUGGGCGAAAGCCUGAUCCAGCAAUGCCGCGUGAGUGAUGAAGGCCUUAGGGUUGUAAAGCCCUUUUACCCGGGAUGAUAAUGACAGUACCGGGAGAAUAAGCUCCGGCUAACUCCGUG